rnacentral:rRNA from 1 species
GCCAGCAGUCAAGUCGCCCUGCAGCUCCCAGCUGGCAGCCCACUGCAGCCAAGCAGGUGUGAGCCUGGCCUGUACCUGGAUGGGAGACCCACUGGGAAGCUAUGGUGGCUGCUGGAA